AUUCCACCAAUAAAUAUUUUGUCUUGCUCCUUGAAAGAUGUAAUGUCGGACAAUGGCACAAAAUUAAUUUUAUCUUCGAUUUCGAUAAUCAUGCAUUAUUGUGGUUCUGGAGCCCAAGAUAUUUCUGCCUCAAACCUCGAUGGAUCAUUAGAAACUUUCUCUUGAUGAACCAUAUUGCUUCUUUCAUUACUCGGUUCAUCUUCAAUACCAUCAAUCAAUUUUUCUUGUGAAAUACUAACCUCAUUUGGGCUGGCAUCCCUUGCAGCUUCUCUUCUUUUCUCCCAUGUUUCUGAAUUUUAGCCUUC
rnacentral:lncRNA from 1 species